GCCUUGAUAGCUCUGUUGUUAAAUCACGAGACUCUUAAUCUCAAGGUCAUGGGUUUGAGUCCCACAUUGGGCA